CAUCGCGCGGAGGAAUCUGAAGGAAGCCGGCGACAAAUAUCUGGCCUGACGGACAGAAACUUCAUAUAAGGCAUUUGACCGUGGAUUAGAUUGCAUCACAUAUCAAAGUCCCAUAGCUAUUCGGAACGGUUGGUGUAAAUGAAGCAGGCAUAAGAUGGAAAGAC
rnacentral:ncRNA from 1 species